AACGAACGCUGGCGGCAGGCUUAACACAUGCAAGUCGAGCGCCCCGCAAGGGGAGCGGCAGACGGGUGAGUAACGCGUGGGAAUCUACCCAUCUCUACGGAAUAACGCAUGGAAACGUGUGCUAAUACCGUAUACGUCCUUCGGGAGAAAGAUUUAUCGGAGAUGGAUGAGCCCGCGUUGGAUUAGCUAGUCGGUGGGGUAAAGGCCUACCAAGGCGACGAUCCAUAGCUGGUCUGAGAGGAUGAUCAGCCACACUGGGGCUGAGACACGGCCCAGACUCCUACGGGAGGCAGCAGUGGGGAAUAUUGGACAAUGGGCGCAAGCCUGAUCCAGCCAUGCCGCGUGAGUGAUGAAGGCCCUAGGGUUGUAAAGCUCUUUCACCGGUGAAGAUAAUGACGGUAACCGGAGAAGAAGCCCCGGCUAACUUCGUGCCAGCCGCCGCCGUAAGAC
rnacentral:rRNA from 1 species